rnacentral:lncRNA from 1 species
AAGGAGGGGCUAUGAAAUAUCUUCACUCCAGGUUCUUUAUGAGCUGCAGUGUAUCAUUUUUAUCAGCAAUUGGAAGCAUGCUGCAUGUUGGACUCUGUGGACACCUGCUUUACACAACAGAACAUUCCAAUAGUGUGCAUGUGCCAUAAUACGUAUAGAAAUUCUAAGAAUUCAUAUAAUUUACCUGCCAAAUCAGGGACUAUUACAGUCUGCUGUGUAAAUUCACAUUUUGGCACUCUUUAAAAAGUGGAUUAUUAUUGACCCAAUAGACCAUAACAGCUCCAAAGAAGCCGUUACUGUACAUCGUGUAAAGCCUUCGUGGUGUGUGUUUUAUUGAAGCUCUGUAGCUAUCGGGAUCUGCUUGUCAAUCUAGCUGCCAUGCGCGUGCACCAAAUGCAUGUGCUAAAGAUGCCUUGUAAAUUGAAGCUUUAGUCAAGUUACCCUUGUUCUUGUCCAAUAAGCCAUGGUAUAAAAUUGGAUAUUUCCACUGCAGUUUCUUUCUCCACCUCCAGAAUUCUAUUUCCCUGUAUUUAUAGAGGUUGAAAUUUUGAAAUGUGGAUAAGGGAGUGGUUAUUUGAUUUCAAGUUUCAAAAAAAAAAAAGCAGGAAGAAAAUUGAAGACAGUUUUUGCUUUGCAUGAAAAAACAUCUCAAAGAAUGCAUGAAUUUACCAGCUUCCAGGAGGCUGGCAAUGGUCACAGUGAGAUUUCUCUACUUUAGGCUUUUGGGAAUCCAAAUAAGAUUUUUAUUUAAUUUUCUAUGUGCUGAUUUUGUGUUUUUCCACCUGUCUGUCCUCUUCUUUCAUUUAACAAAAAAUGAACAUUGGAAUAUUUGCCAGGAAAAAAAAAACACCUUUUUAGUUACUUGUACCUUCAGUAAAAAUAAAAUAACACUUUGAGGUCUCAAGCUGUAGGUG